UAUGUGCAUGCAAUACGGUGGAUACAAUGAGGUUGGAUGCAUUAUGAGGGACAUUUACAAUUUCUACCAUGCUAACAAGCAGGAAUCAAUUGCUUCCGGGGAUGCUCAAACGGUCAUCAAUCACAUGGUGGCGAGGCAAGAGCGAGAUUCAGAUGUUUUCUUCAGGUACUUGGUUGAUGAAGCUGCCCAUCUGAAGGGACUGUUCUGGUGUGAUAGUCAAUCCCGCAUCGACUACGAGGCUUUCAAAGACGUUAUUCUUUUUGAUAGCACAUACAGAACCAAUAAGUACAAUCUACCAUUUGUGCCGUUUGUCGGGUUGAAUCACCAUCGCAGCACUGUUAUUUUUGCAUGUGGUGUCAUUUCACAUGAAACAAGUCAGGCAUACGAGUGGAUGUUAUGGACCUUUUCUGAUGCUACGGGACAGAAGUAUCCUAUAUCUGUGAUCACCGAUGGGGACCUUGCAAUGCAGAGAGCAAUCAGGGUGGUGUGGCCUGACUCAAACCAUAGGCUCUGUAUAUGGCACAUUCAGCAAAACAUUGCACGUCAUCUGCAUGAUGACGAGGUAAAGGAGGAAUUCAGAUUUUUCAUAUAUGAUACAUCUUCCAUUGAAGAGCAUGAGAGAAAAUGGUUACAGUUCUUACAACAGAAUAAAGUAACAAGUGAGGACUCCUGGCUGCAUCAGAUGUAUAAGAUGAGAAAACUGUGGUGUGCUCCAUAUCUUGAGGGGCGUUGUUUCCUAGGAUUGAGCAGCAAUCAGUGGAGUGAGAGUUCAAACUCGGUGCUACAUACGCAUCUUGAGGCUAAGAUGAUGUUGUUUCAAAUGCUAGAGCACUAUGAGCAUUGCCUUGCGUCGCGACGCUUGAACGAGGCUCUCCAAGACAUCGAGGCCUUGCAGUCCGUUCCAUUCACCGAGGAAAAUGCUUCAAGUCUUGAGAAACAUGCCGCAAAAGUUUUCACUCUUGUUGUGUUUAAGUUGGUCUUAUGGAGCAUAAAUGUUGUAAGAAAAUGUGAGAUCAGAGAGGUACUUGAUGCAGCAGAAGUUACCACAUACGUUGUGUCUAAGAAGGAAAGAAUGGAUAAAAUUAUCAAAGUGCGCACGGAGUCGAAGGAAGGUCCGCUUCGCAGUAUCAGUUGUUCUUGCCGCAAAUUGGAAUGCACAGGCACACCAUGUUCCCACAUAUUUUACAUAUUGGGAAUUUUACAAGAAGAAACACUGCCCAUGUGUUGUGUUCCCACUAGGUGGACAAUGAGUGCAAAAUGUGCAUUCACACCGACCAGAGAGAGCGAGAUGUAUGAAUACUCUGCAACCCUACAAAUGUACCGUAAGGUAAGGAAUUUUAGUCACGCAGCAUGUUUCAAAGCAUGCCACUCUGAUGAGGCGUUUCAGCAUGUAAAAAGUGUUUUGAAAGGACAAGAUGUUUGCAAGGGAUCAACAAGUGAACAAGCUGAUAGCAAGGUGUCAACUAAUGCUUAG
rnacentral:rRNA from 1 species